AGGAAGAGGAAGGAAGCAAACAGAGGGAAGAAUGGCCAGAAAGAGCAACAACAGGCGUGUGUCCCUGGGUGAAGAGGGUGAGAAUCACAGUGCGGUUCUCCUCUGGCACGGAGGACGGAGCAGCCUGCCACAUGGCUAGGCCGCCGCCGCCGCCGGCGGCCCUUCCUUGCCAAAGGAGAAUUGCCCUGCUAUUCAUAGCCCUCUAGUAGAUGUUCAAAGGCGUUGCUUCAAUCUAGUUGGAAGCUUUGGCACUAGCUUUUUCUUCCUUCCUUCCUUUUUUGGAGUCCUUACCAUUAACAUUAUUGACUUGAUAUAAAAGGGAGAGAGAUCCGUAGGAGCUGCUGACUGAAAUCUGCCUCGGUUUGGAUUUCUUUUCAAAGAACGGGAUUUAAAUUUUUAGCUACUUCAAAUCAAAAUGCUGAGACUUCCUCGCAAAAAAAAAAUCAAAAUGCUGAGACCGUACAAUACUUGUCUCCAUUGGCCCAUUGCUAAAUCAUAUUAUUUCGGGGUCUCAAUAUGAGCAUCCAUAAAAAAAUUUUAAAAAUAAGUACUCAGUGGAAGUAUCACCGCAACUAUCAAAACACUAUGAACUACGUAAGAGCAGGUACAACUAGGGGUGGUAAUGGGCCAUGACCCUAAUGGCCUCUUCACAGCCCAAUAAGGCCUUUAAAAUUUUUAGUUCAAAAAUACAUAUGUUUAGAACCCGGCUCUUUUAGGGUUCGAUCCUUAGAUUUUCUAGUACAAAAUGUUGGGCUCUUUACCACCGUACAACGGACAGUCGACCCGUCAACAUGCAUAUUUUUUUUUGCGAAAACCCCCUCGUGGCUGGCAAUUUUGAGGAGAGGGAGCAGCAUCGUCGGCUGUUCGUCGCCAGCUUGCGCGCGUGGUCUGAGACGAAUCGACAAGGAGCGCGAGCGCUGAACAAAGCGCUGCGGCUCGGCGACGGCAGCGAGGAUCCGGUUCGCGCGCGGGGUAUCGUUUGGCGCUAAAGGUGUGCGCCAUCUUCCCCUGAAAAAUCCUCGCUGUGCACCACUCCAUCCCCGUCCCUAUCCCGCGCUGCCCCGUCCUCGCCGCGCCGCCAUCGUCCGCUACUGUGUCGCUUCUCCCACGGGCUUCCAACGGAGGCAGUAGGCCGCAAUGUGCACGCGCUUUCGGCUCCCCCUCUCCCCAGCUCCGGCCAGGGCGGAUCUGGCUGCGGCCGACCUGCACAGCGUGCCCCCGCCGCCGGAGACCCUCCCCCUCCCACAGCUCCGGCCAGGGCGGAUCUGGCCGCCGCUAACCCGCACAGCACGCCCCCCGCCGCCGGAGACUGUCGCCCCCAUCACGAGCGCGAAGUGGACGAGCGUCCUGCGCCCAGGCCUCAACGGCUCCCCAGCUCCGGCCAUGGUGUGGGUCUGGCCGCCGCCGGAAACGGCCGCCUUCACGAGCGCCCAGGCUUCAAUGGCUUCCCAGGGAUAAAAACCCAAUACCUCGUCGUGGCUUCACAAACUUUAUGCAGCCUCAUUUGUCUCAAAAUUAUCAUUUAGUCAGGGGACCUUCUCAUUUUGCACCAUUCAAUCCACCGCAGUCUAUGGAAGAUACACCAUCGGAAGAAAGACAUAUCCACUCCUCCUGCAUCAAUGUUUGAAGAAGAAAUUAUUUCCUGAAAAUUGAGAUCAAUUAUCUAUUUGAUGCCUCGUGAACUGAAGUGUUGUUUUGGCUGCUUGGUGAUGAAUAUGUCGCCUAGUGAUGAUUCUGGUCUUGGCGAUGGUGAUGAGCAUGUCUGCCUAAUGAUGAUCAUGUGCUGCUUGGUGCAGAAUUGCUAGUAACUUGUUGAUUAUGUAAGGCACGUUAUGUAAGUCUUUUUUUAUGAUCCUUUAAAAGGGAAGGAUGUGCCUUCUGAACUAUGAAAGAACCAGCCUUUUUGAAUGGUUUAUCUUUGAAAUAUAAAACUACUUCCCAUCUGCAAAUUAUUUGAA